AACUGACGAGUCCCAAAUAGGACGAAACGCACGUCUU
rnacentral:hammerhead_ribozyme from 1 species